UCAGCCUCCCAAGAAGCUGGGAUUAUAGGUGUGCACCACCAUGCCCAGCUAAUUUUUGUAUUUUUAGUAGAGCCGGGGUUUCACCAUGUUGGCCAGGCUGAUCUCGAACUCCUGACCUCAAAAGAUCUGCCUCGGCCUCCCAAAGUGCUGGGAUUAAACACAUGAGCCACUGCGCACAGCCCAGAUUUUGUUUUAAGCUGAUAAAUUUGAGGUAAAUGUUAUACAGCAAUAGAAAACUAAUACAGUUGAUUCUAUAUCUGUGGGGUCUGCAUUGAGAGAUUCAACCAACCACAGCUGGAAAAUAUCUGGGAAAAAAAAAUAACAAAAACAACAAUUAAAAAAUACAACUGUACUCCAGCCUGGGCAACAGUGCAGAGACUCCAUCUCUUAAAAAAAACAUACAGGAGGAUGUGUGUAGGUUAUAGGAAAAUACUAUAUGCCAUUUUAUGUAAGACUUGAGUAUCCACAAAUUUUGGUAUCAUUGGCGAUCCCGGAAUGAAUCCCCCACGGAUAGUGAAGGACGGCUGUACCAGGUCUUAUCUGUGGUCAAGCUACUGUAGUAAGGGGAAGAAGAAAGAAAAGACAGAAGGCCCUGGACCAAAAGAAAUAGAACUGAAUUAAACCUUGGCUGCCUGCUAGUGAGACCCUCAAUUAUAUCUGAAGUGAGGCUUGCCCAAAAAACUGGCAUAAUAUUCACAUUAAAAUUCAGCUGAAAGUAGGAUUUCUGCAGGCUCUUCUGAUCUUUGGGCUGAAGGCCCUUCAGUUUCUCUCAGAAACAUCAAGGCAGCUGAAAACAUCACCAAGCCCUUCCCCUGGAGAGAGCAUAGGCUGCCCCUGGUCUUUGCCACCUCCUCAAUCUGCCACUUUCUUUCUUCCCUUCAAGACUGAACUUCUUGAAAGAAAGUCCUUAGUCCCUGAUUCUAGUCCUCACCUCCCACUAAGCCUUCCACACACUGUAGGCUGCAACUGCCAACACCACUAAGAUUUUGCAUGCAGAAGGAACCAAAGGUGCUUCCCUCAAUUCCCAUUUUCCAUGGCCUCUUCUCAGGCAACUGGGCUGAGGAUACUGUCCACUUCCAAAAACUCACUUGUCCUUAUUUCAAGGACCUUGCUUUCUCCUGCUUUCCUCCUUCCUGGUUCUUCUCAGCUCCCAUCAUAAUCUGGUUAAGUGUUCUGAAGCCAGGUUUCCUGAAGUCGUCAAAAUCCUGGCUUUACUACCUACUAGCUCUGUGCCUCCCUCUCCUUAUCUGUAAUAGGGAUAGUGAUAGCAGAUAGGGCCAUUGUAAGCAUUAAGUAAGUGAGUGUAUAAAGCUCUUAGAACAGUGCCUGGUGUGUGGUUGUAAGGAACAUGGCUGUGCUGCAGCGAGGCAGGCAUAGGCCGAGGUAAACAUCCUGCAUGACUCAGCUGGAUUGGAGCGCACGCACACAAUUCCGUGCAUUAUAUAAUCACAGUUAUGUAGCCAUAAUCUGGGGAGGCUCAUCACCUGGCUCUAAGAUACUACUGUUUGUGAGGUGUAUAAAUGUGGCACUGACACUGUGAAAGAGCUGCUGAGUAAAGCCAUGUCCCAUCUACCUGCUGUCUCUCGAGUGUUCUUCCAGCUCCCUGCCCCCCAUCCACCCACUCCCCUUGGACCUCAGCUGGGGCUCUAACCUGACAUUUGGCAUAGUGAGCAAGAUGAGGUGAGUGGGUCUUCAGCCUCCAGGCUCCCGGAGCGACUAUGCAGCCACAGCAUGAGCUGUGGCACCCAGUGGCAGCCGUGCUGCAAGGAUGGGCUCUGGUGGAAACAUGGGCGGUAGUGGACAGCCCCUCCACGAGUGUGGAGAAGGUGCUGAAGCACCUGGAAAUGCACAGGACCGAGAAGGAGUGUGCCUUUGCCAACAGAGUCAGAUGGGCAUUUGUGACUGUGCUGCUGGAAGGGCAUGCCCAGUCCCUGCUGGACGCAGUGCAGGGAGGAGGAAGAACCUCCGUUACAGGCUCACCCAGUGGUCUGCCAGAAAAUAGAGCAUGAACAGCCACUGGGCCCCAAGGGUGGGCCUAGAGACCCCCUACCAUAGUGAAGCACACUUCUUAUAGUGCUUGUACCCCCCACUGAGUUGUGGGAGUUAGGCAAGCAGUGCCAGCAGCAUUUGGGGGAGACUCCCUGCCUGAAUUCUGUCUCUCCGGGACAAAGGAGCUGAUCCAUUUCCUGCUCCGCCUCUGAGAUGGAAAAGCUGGCUUCUUUAAUUACAGUGUGGUCUGAUGCCGGUGAAAUACCAGAAACUGUCAGUAGAUGGCAGUUGUAUAUAGACUUAGUGCAAGUCAUUCGGGAAAAGGACAUUGCUGGGCAACUAGGUCCCGCCGGAGCGUUCCAGCUCAAAGAUUACCUGCUGCAGUCAGGCAGAAAUGUAAAGUCUUUCCUGUUUGAUUGGGCUUGCAGAUUUAGAAGCAGCAACGCAGCCUCUUGCCUGGAAUUGGGAUGAUGCGGCUGAAACCACCUUCCUGGCAGCCAAACAGGCUAUUCAGCAGGCACAAGCCCUAUGGGUAGCUGAUCAGGGGCACCCAUUUAAACUUGAUGUGCAUGUGACCAGAUAGUUUUGACUGGGGCUUAUGGCAUCACACAGAGCUCUUUAGAAUGCCAGUAGACUUUUGGUCCCAACUUUGGAAGGGAGCUGAGCUCCAGUAUUCCUCGACAGAGAAGCAGUUACUAACUGCAUAUGCUGCCCUUUAGACUCGUGACAGCCUGGCAGGAUGGGCUACAGUCGUCGCGCGCAUGACUUACCCAAUACCAGGGUGGGUAUGCUCAUGGGUAACAACCCACACACUGGGAUGGCACAGACAUCCACUUUUGUAAAGUGGGGUGCUUAAGCCUACUUGGAACAGCAAAGUAUGCUAACUCAAGUCCCUUAGAAGCACAAUUACAGGAAGUCUUAGGACCCACAGUCCUAAUGCAAGAUAAGGCUAUGGGACCUGAGGCACCCCUAGAUUCUGAGCCUUCACCUUUUAAGGAAGGGCAUUCCCGCAUUCCCAAUGGGGCAUGGUACACAGAUAGGUCUAGCCAGGGUGCUACUGCUACCUGGACUGCUGUUGCAGCCCAGCCUAGUACCAACACCCUAUGGUUUGAUACCAGGUGUGGACAAAGUAGCUAAUAAACUGAACUCAGGGCAAUGUAAAUGGUGAUCACCAAGAAGGUGACACCGAUGGUAAUCUGCACUGAUAGCUGGGCAGUUUAUCAAGGCUUAACCUUGUGGCUAACUACCUAGAAGUUACAGAAGUGGCUAGUCACCGACCCAUGUAGGGCCAGGCCAUGUGGCCAGAUCUAUGGGAGAAAGGAUGACUUCCUCCAACCAGGUAUGGGGACAAACAGUAACCUGUUGUUGCCUGCCCCAACACCCUAAAGGUAGGGAAGCAAAAACCCUGGCUUAAUAUAUAAAGCAACAUUGGGGUAACAUCACCAUGUAGUGAUUGCUCACUAUAACCUGAAAUUAUUGCUCCCUGUAUUACUACUGUGGCCCGAGUGCCCAGAGCUUAUGUGUCAGGCUUAUGUGUCAAGCCUCUACGUAUACAUUGGGCCUGUGUGCCCAAAGCCUAUGUGUCAGACUUAUGUGUCAAGCCUGUGUGUAUGUCAGCCCUGGGUGCCCAAAGUUUAUAUGUCAGGCCUGUGUGCCAAACCUAUAUAUUGGGCCUGUGUACCCAAAAACCUAUGUCUCCCUCGGCCAAGGGGGUGGAGUGUAAGGUAAAUGGAUGUGCUUUGGUCAAGAAUAGGCCGAGGCAGAUAUGC
rnacentral:lncRNA from 1 species